UUUUUGUAAUAUAACGGAUUUUAAUAUAAAAAUAAAUAUAAAUAAAAAUAGUGUAAGAUACUAUUUUUAUUUGAUUUAAAGAAGUAAAACAUAAGUCAGAAACGACUCGUGCUGAAAUCGGAACGGAAAUAGAAGAUUUAGAAUUUUCUGUUAGAAACGGAGCUGAUAUUCUAGCAGAAAAUGCACAGUAUCAGAAAAUUAUGAAAACUGGGAAUAUAUCGGAAUUAUUUUUAUGAGGCUAGAUUUAAAGUUUCAUGUCAUUCCGACACCCGAAAAGUGAAAAAUAAAAUCCGAUUACUAUCUGCUAGAGAUUUCAGUUUGGUAGAGCUUUCGAUGACCAAAGAUGGUCCAAACUGAAAAGUUAAGAUAUAUUUCGUUUAUUUAGCAAAAACCGAGCCUGACUGUCAAAUUUGAGCGCAAACGAACAUUCAGAAGGGCCGGCGAAAUGUAUCUGUACCUGAGCUGCUAAACUGAAAUAGUGUUGAGGGGUGUUGACUUAUGAAAAUGGGUUUU
rnacentral:lncRNA from 1 species